UACAGAGGUCCCAAGCGUUGUUCGGAUUCACUGGGCGUAAAGGGUGCGUAGGCGGCCGGGUAAGUCUGAUGUGAAAUCCCGCAGCUUAACUGCGGAACUGCAUCGGAUACUCUCCGGCUAGAGGAAUGGAGGGGAGACUGGAAUUCUCGGUGUAGCAGUGAAAUGCGUAGAUAUCGAGAGGAACACCAGUGGCGAAGGCGAGUCUCUGGACAUUUCCUAACGCUGAGGCACGAAAGCCAGGGGAGCAAACAGG
rnacentral:rRNA from 1 species